rnacentral:rRNA from 1 species
UUGCUUCUCUUGAGAGCGGCGGACGGGUGAGUAAUGCCUAGGAAUCUGCCUGGUAGUGGGGGAUAACGUCCGGAAACGGACGCUAAUACCGCAUACGUCCUACGGGAGAAAGCAGGGGGACCUUCGGGCCUUGCGCUAUCAGAUGAGCCUAGGUCGGAUUAGCUAGUUGGUGGGGUAAUGGCUCACCAAGGCGACGAUCCGUAACUGGUCUGAGAGGAUGAUCAGUCACACUGGAACUGAGACACGGUCCAGACUCCUACGGGAGGCAGCAGUGGGGAAUAUUGGACAAUGGGCGAAAGCCUGAUCCAGCCAUGCCGCGUGUGUGAAGAAGGUCUUCGGAUUGUAAAGCACUUUAAGUUGGGAGGAAGGGCAGUAAAUUAAUACUUUGCUGUUUUGACGUUACCGACAGAAUAAGCACCGGCUAACUCUGUGCCAGCAGCCGCGGUAAUACAGAGGGUGCAAGCGUUAAUCGGAAUUACUGGGCGUAAAGCGCGCGUAGGUGGUUCGUUAAGUUGGAUGUGAAAUCCCCGGGCUCAACCUGGGAACUGCAUUCAAAACUGACGAGCUAGAGUAUGGUAGAGGGUGGUGGAAUUUCCUGUGUAGCGGUGAAAUGCGUAGAUAUAGGAAGGAACACCAGUGGCGAAGGCGACCACCUGGACUGAUACUGACACUGAGGUGCGAAAGCGUGGGGAGCAAACAGGAUUAGAUACCCUGGUAGUCCACGCCGUAAACGAUGUCAACUAGCCGUUGGGAGCCUUGAGCUCUUAGUGGCGCAGCUAACGCAUUAAGUUGACGCCUGGGGAGUA